GAUGAACGCUGGCGGCGUGCCUAAUACAUGCAAGUCGAGCGAACAGACGAGGAGCUUGCUCCUCUGACGUUAGCGGCGGACGGGUGAGUAACACGUGGAUAACCUACCUAUAAGACUGGGAUAACUUCGGGAAACCGGAGCUAAUACCGGAUAAUAUAUUGAACCGCAUGGUUCAAUAGUGAAAGACGGUUUUGCUGUCACUUAUAGAUGGAUCCGCGCCGCAUUAGCUAGUUGGUAAGGUAACGGCUUACCAAGGCAACGAUGCGUAGCCGACCUGAGAGGGUGAUCGGCCACACUGGGACUGAGACACGGUCCAGACUCCUACGGGAGGCAGCAGUAGGGAAUCUUCCGCAAUGGGCGAAAGCCUGACGGAGCAACGCCGCGUGAGUGAUGAAGGUCUUCGGAUCGUAAAACUCUGUUAUUAGGGAAGAACAUAUGUGUAAGUAACUAUGCACGUCUUGACGGUACCUAAUCAGAAAGCCACGGCUAACUACGUG
rnacentral:rRNA from 1 species